rnacentral:rRNA from 1 species
GACGAACGCUGGCGGCGUGCUUAACACAUGCAAGUCGAACGGAAAGGCCCUGCUUUUGUGGGGUGCUCGAGUGGCGAACGGGUGAGUAACACGUGAGUAACCUGCCCUUGACUUUGGGAUAACUUCAGGAAACUGGGGCUAAUACCGGAUAGGAGCUCCUGCUGCAUGGUGGGGGUUGGAAAGUUUCGGCGGUUGGGGAUGGACUCGCGGCUUAUCAGCUUGUUGGUGGGGUAGUGGCUUACCAAGGCUUUGACGGGUAGCCGGCCUGAGAGGGUGACCGGCCACAUUGGGACUGAGAUACGGCCCAGACUCCUACGGGAGGCAGCAGUGGGGAAUAUUGCACAAUGGGCGGAAGCCUGAUGCAGCAACGCCGCGUGCGGGAUGACGGUCUUCGGGUUGUAAACCGCUUUCGCCUGUGACGAAGCGUGAGUGACGGUAAUGGGUAAAGAGGCACCGGCUAACUACGUG